UUACUUUUUAUUUAUAUUAAAAUUUGUUGGUUUAACUAUUUUUUUUUACUUUCCUCUUUUUAGACGGAAGGCUAACCAUUCCGUUAACCAUUCUUCUCUUUCACGCUAUUUUCAAUUGGUCCCAAUUAGAAUUUUACUCUCAAUUCCAAUCGAGUUAAACUCAGGAUUUGGCGAUCGAUUAAACUCAGAAUUUUACCUUUUUCUUCUAUUUUUAUGCAUCUUUUUCUCACUACUGGCACUAUCAACCCACUAUUUUAUCGUCCUGCUCCAUAGGCGGCAACUUUAUUGAUUUCGGCACCAAUAACUUUCUUGGAAGGGUUUCGCGAGUCGAUCACCUUGCCUAUGGCUGAGAUUUCGACAACCGGCGCCCACCGACCGGUUGUUAAAUGGAAGAAUCCCAGUUGAUUAUUUUGAAGGAUGGUUCUCUGAAGCUUCUAUAAACAGGCAGGAUAAUAUAUAUCAUAUAUAAUUGUAUAUGAAGAAUUUAGAUAAAUGGGUUUUAUUUAAAAUUCCAUUAGGUAGAUAAUGAGGUUUUGAGAGCUUCCAUCUUGGGCAAUGGCACCUUUAGAUUUCACUCAUAAUGCGAUUCUUAACUAUCUUAAGCACAUAAGAAGAAACUGGCUUGCCUCUGCCUCCAAAAGUUAAAGAGAUGAUAAAACGAAGAAUAUGCAAAGAAUGAGGACCUUCAAAAGAUUAAACUGACAUCAUCACUGCUAUUUUUGGGACACUGUAAGUUUGAAAUAACCCACUUGAAUUUGGUCAUGAUUUUGAUUACUGCCUUUUUGGAAUCCCAUAUCUGAUACAAAUUUCAAUUGACUUUCUUAGUGAUUAUUAUUUGGCUCUUGAGUAAAUUUUUAGUGGCAAGUGGUCCGAGAAGGCAAGUGUUUAUAGUUUUAGAAUUCUUGUCUUUUAAGUAGUAUGUGGAAGAAAGAACAAUUCUUCCAAUAAAAGUCCAAACCCCUGUUGUGCAGAUGGUAAGCUCUUUGUUUCAAACAUAGGUUAAAGACGGUCAUAAAUAAUGUGAUAAAGACCAUUAUGUAAAGGUUUGGAGCCAUUAUGGAAGCAGUACACUUGGUGAAUUAGUUGAUCCAAGCCUAGGAGGUAAUUUUCAAGCCGAGGAGCAUCUUGGUUGCUCCAAAUUGGGCUAAUUAGUGUACAAGCCUCUGUUGAGCUACGACCAUGCAUUUAUUGUGGAUCUGCUUACCGAAAAUCAUGAGAUUCCGUAGCCAACACAACCACCUUUUUUUGAGCUCAAUCUCCACAGAAAUUGGCCAUGGCAUCUCUUCUAACUAAUACUAUUCUUCUAGGCGUGAAUCUAACACGCAGUCCUCUGGGAACAAGAUGAAAUGAUCAUUUAUUUUCUUCUUUCUAAAUCACUUUGUGUAUUGCUUCCACAUUCUAUACAUACAAGGCUCCAUUGGAUCAGUAUUUAUAUAAUAAAAAAGUUAUAUAAUAUUAAAUUUUUAACAUACAUAACUCAUAACAUUGAUCAGGUAUAUAAACUUAAAUAAAUAUCGAUAAUUUCUUUUAUGAUAUAAUAUUGAAUUUUUUAACAUACGUAACUCAUAUUUUAAAAUGAUAUUAAAAAAUCUCAAUCAGGCUUUCUAUAACAUGUUAUGAUUCAUGUAAUACGAAAAUUAUAUUCUACAAUGACAAUGAAGAAAAUGAAUGUGAGAAUCGAAAUUGCGGAAAAAGAUGUCUUCUUACACCACGGUAAAAGCAUUAUAUUUAAAUUGACAUUUGAACUUAAGUUACAUUCAUACCAACGUUUACAUAUUCUGUAUGGAUCAUUAGUGCAAAGACAUAUGUUCAACUCGACAAUGGUACUUAAAAACUAGAUGCUGUGAUGUUCGGAGAUGUUGCAGAAAAUAUAUUAUCAUGUAUUGCAGUUCAAUUAAAAUCGUAUUCAACUAAACUGCUGAGCCCAUAGAAGAUUAAGAUAACGUUUCAUUAUGCUUAGUUUUAUUUUUCAUAAGGUUUUCUAUAUUGAAACUUUAACUAAUAAUUCUUUUUCCUUAUUUUAAGAUGACAUUUUUUCAUUCAUUUCAUUACAUAAUAUUUUCUUUAAAUUUUCCAAAAUACAUAUAUUGAUCCUUUUAAUUUUCUCGAAACCAAGAGUAAAUGUUAAAGUCAUGUGCUGAUAUGACUUAUCAUAAAUUAUUUCAUCACAUUAAGGAUAAUUAUUAUAUGAGUAUGAAUAUAUUGAGAUAAAUUUACUGGUUAUUAUUAAUAACAAUAUGUAUAUCAUAGGUUUAUAUACACAAUUAUGGCAUUCUUAACAACCUUACUUUUAUAAAACAAAUCGUUUAAAAAAUAAUUUACAAUUAGUUACCGAAUUCUUAAACAAAAACAUCUUAAAUAA